rnacentral:rRNA from 1 species
AUUGAACGCUGGCGGCAGGCCUAACACAUGCAAGUCGAGCGGAUGAAGGGAGCUUGCUCCUGGAUUCAGCGGCGGACGGGUGAGUAAUGCCUAGGAAUCUGCCUGGUAGUGGGGGAUAACGUCCGGAAACGGGCGCUAAUACCGCAUACGUCCUGAGGGAGAAAGUGGGGGAUCUUCGGACCUCACGCUAUCAGAUGAGCCUAGGUCGGAUUAGCUAGUUGGUGGUGUAACGGCCUACCAAGGCGACGAUCCGUAACUGGUCUGAGAGGAUGAUCAGUCACACUGGAACUGAGACACGGUCCAGACUCCUACGGGAGGCAGCAGUGGGGAAUAUUGGACAAUGGGCGAAAGCCUGAUCCAGCCAUGCCGCGUGUGUGAAGAAGGUCUUCGGAUUGUAAAGCACUUUAAGUUGGGAGGAAGGGCAGUAAGUUAAUACCUUGCUGUUUUGACGUUACCAACAGAAUAAGCACCGGCUAACUUCGUG